AUGGAGAGAGUGAGAAGGAGGUGGAGCAGAAAGGAGCUAAUACCAGCUGUGCUGAAGAGGAAAUGACUUUAAGAACGAUGAAGCAAGAACGGGUUAGAGAAAGACAGACGAUAAGGCGAAAUAGUGUUAAAAAAAGAAGGGAGAGAGAAAGAAAUACCAAACAGAGAGGUAAAUGAAGAUGAGUCAAGAUGGGUGGAUGGUGAGAAAUGUAAAGAAACUUAAAGAAAAAGAUCACAGACAGGCAGAUAUGUAGAUAUUGACGCAGACAAAAAUGAAGUUGAUUUGCAUGCAGUUAAAAGGGAAAAACACAGAGGCUUAAUCUGAACGCAGAGAGAAAACAAACCAACAGGAAUCUGCAGCACCGACUAUAGAAGAUGCACAGAAUACUGCAGAGACAUUUGUAAAGUGUAAUGACAGAAGAAGUCAAUGUCCCCCCCUCUUCCCCGGACUCUGUAUCCCUCCUGGAGAUAAGGACAGAGACUCGUCUUGUGCUAAAAUCUUUUCUCCGGAAAACUCUCACCGUCCCUCCGUCUGAGCGCCCAGGAAGAAUUGGAGGGGAAUACAGGGACCACAACAAGUACAGUGCAUCUUUGAAAGAUAAAUCGAAGACACAUGACAAUGGUUGGGACUCUCUGGAUGAGGAGAUCAGUUCGGCAGAGGAGAAAAAACAUGGCUUUAAAGACUUGAUACGAAAAAGGUGGCGGCCACGCCCAGUGACGAUUCGUCGUGUACCAAAAGACGGUGGGCAGUCGCCCCACGGAACCUUGGAGAGGGAUGGUCAACAUAGCCAAUCAGAGAAGGAACUGACAAAGCAAAAAAGCCCAUGUCUACCACAUAUCCUAAAGCAAAAA